GUGUGCCAACUUUAUCUCACUGUCAGCUGCUGAACUUUUAUACCAGCAUGCUACGUGAAGGUGUUUAAGUUCAGAGACUGUUUCAGCACCUUUUUUUUUUCUUCAAAGGCUGUUAAAGCUGAACGGUGUCAGGAGGAACCUUCGCGCUGCGUGCCUCAUUUUCAACCCGGAGUACUGUCUCAACGGGACCGUAAAUAUACCCACCAUCGUAGCUGCUUCUGUCGACCGACCCGGCGCAGGGAAACAAUGAGCAUUUAUCAAGAUUUAACACCGUUUCAAUGACACAACUCGUCAUUUUCACUCGACGUGAAAGCAGAGCCGCAAAGGGAGCAGCUUCCGGUGUAGCAGAGUGAAGUGUUUCGGGGAUGGAGUCGUUUCGGCGGGCAGGACUCAGCGGGGUCCUGUGCUCACUGUCAUUGCUGGGUGUCAUCCUGGACAUCCAGCUGGACGGCGUCUUAGGGGCGACUCAUGUCGAGAUCGAGCACCACUUGGAGAUGGGCCGCAAACUCUUGGCUGCCGGGCAGCUGGCCGAGGCCUUGUCCCACUACCACUCUGCUGUGGAGGGAGACUCCAAGAAUUACCUGACCUACUACAAACGAGCUGCUGUGUUUCUGGCGAUGGGAAAAUCUAAAUCCGCCCUGCCAGACCUAACCAGAGCCAUCCAGCUCAAACCUGACUUCCUGGCUGCCCGGUUGCAGAGAGGGAAUAUCCUGUUAAAGCAGGGCAACACACAGGAGGCCAUAGACGACUUUGAAGCAGUACUGCUGCGCUCGCCGGACCACGAAGAAGCUCAGGAGCAGGAGAUGAAAGCUAACGAGCUGGUGGAGCUGCAGGAGGAGGCACACGCUGCGUACCACCAGGGGGACUACAGCACUACGAUCAGCGUGCUGGAGAGAGUCAUUGAGAUCUCUCCCUGGGAUCCAGAGUCGCGGGAGCUUCGGGCAGAAUGUUUUAUCCGAAUGGGCGACCCACAGAAAGCCAUCCAGGAUCUGACGCCGACCACACGGCUACGCAACGACAACCGUGCCGCCUUCCUGAAGCUCAGCUUGCUGCACUACAGCCUCGGAGAACACCACGAGUCUCUCAAUCACAUCAGAGAGUGUCUGAAGCUGGACCAGGACGACAAAGAGUGUUUCAACCACUACAAGCAAGUGAAGAAGCUCAGCAAGCAGCUGGACGCUGCAGAAGAGCUCCUUGACAUGGAGAGGUACGAAGAAGCCAUUGAAAAAUAUGAAUCAGUAAUGAAGACGGAACCGAAUGUCCCAUUCUACACCAACCUGGCAAAAGAGAAGUUCUGUUUCUGCUUUGUCAAGAUCAAAUUGGCUCACGAGGCGAUAGACGUGUGUUCAGAGGCUCACCAGAGAGACCCCCGCAACGCAAACAUCCUCCGAGAUCGAGCCGAGGCGUACAUCCUCAACCAGGACUAUGAGAAAGCUGUCGAGGACUACCAGGAGGCGCGAGAGUUUGACGGCGACAGCCAAGAAAUCCAAAAAGGGCUGGAACGAGCACAGAAACUUCUGAAAAUGUCUCUCAAGAGGGACUACUACAAGAUCCUGGGCGUCAGCAGGAAUGCAAAUAAGCAGGAGAUCAUUAAGGCGUACAGAAAGCUGGCACAGCAGUGGCACCCGGACAACUUCCAGUCCGAGACGGAGAAGAAAGAAGCAGAGAAGAAGUUCAUCGACAUUGCAUCGGCUAAAGAAGUCCUCACUGACCCAGAAAUGAGGCAGAAGUUCGAUGCCGGCGAUGAUCCUCUGGACCCAGAGAACCAGCAGGGCGGCGGAGGAGGAGGAGGACAGGGCUGGCCUUUCCAUUUCGACCCCUUCCAGUCCGGUGGCAGCUUCCACUUCAAGUUCCAGCAUAACUAGAGAGAGAGAGACAAAGAACCUCCAGAACUUUAGAGGGGAUUCAUGGAGACGUCUUCCUCUGAAGCUCUUCUUUGGCUUUGACACAUUUGUUACUUGAACAUUUGAUUUGUAGUGCAGUAGAGGCAUGACCUGGAAACAAAAAAUGGGACUUCUUUUGAUAGAAAUAACAAAAAAACGAAGGACCUAACUGCUGAAGGAAGAAAAUGAAGUCUUGUGUCAACACGUCAGAGCCUGAAGACGGACAGUUUGUUGGGUUAAAAUGUCAAUGUGGGACAUUUGGGUUGUCUGCUCUAAUUUCUUUAUGUGCCAUUUUUUUUUCCUCCAAAGGACUUCUCUUCCUUUUAUAAUGCAGUCGCUCAUGCUUGGACGUCACACAGGAGGACUGUCUGUGUGUCGGUUUCUGCUCGCAGUAUUCUUCAAAAGGAAUUACACGUCUUUCAUUUUGACCCAUGUCAAACCCUCUCUGCAUUCAGAGAGCCAAGGUUUUUUUUUAUACACAGCCACAGCCUUGUUGAGCUUCUGCAGUAACGGUAAGUAGGUGAGACUUCAGGUUUUAAACGUUUUGAAAUCCUAUGGAUCUUAAAUAACAAUAAUGAAUAGUGUGUGAAUGCUGUGUCGUUGUAUCUUCAACAGGCUAUUUAUGCAGCUCCAAACUUUACUGAUAUCAUUUCUAAUUUAACACAAACACGGUCUGAACCGGAAAAAAAAGCUGAGCAAAAUGAAGACUGUACAAGAAACGAUUUCAUUUUCUUUUUUCGAAGCGCGUCUUUGAAAACUUGCACUUUUACUUUUUUUUUUUUUGGUUUACUUGAAGAGCCACUCCACAUGUUCUCCACUCCUGAAAUGUUACUGCAGCCUUCCAAAGACUCUUUUACAAAGUAUCUCAUCAGACUGUGGGAAACACAAAGGCUCCGUCUGAAACCCUUAAAGGCAGGGUUGGUCAUUUUUCAAAAACUAGCAUGAUUUUGAAAGUAGCAUUCCCUCAGUGCGCCCUCAACACCCACCAUCUCCCCUCUGUGCUCCCUCAAAAGCCACGCCCCCCUCACUUACAUGCACAAGCGCCAUUGGUCCAGAAGCGGAGCUCAGCUCAUGCUUUGAGUGUCGGGCUCGUGCAUGCAACGUGUGGAGAACGAGCAGGGAGGCGUCUGAUUGGUUCAUCAGAUUGGUACCUCGUGGCAGACAUUAGUCGAAGUGUUGACAGGCUUACAGCUGCUACAGAUGACGGAUUUUCUUUGUUUCUUUUUCCGAGCACGAGUUUUUAAAUGUCUGUCAGGAACUAAAGACAAUUUAAACCAAAAUCUGAAGAAAAAUGAACCCUGCCUUUAAGUUCCAGGGGAAAGUACAACUUUGUACACGAGGACGAGUUAGGCACACAACUGUUUACCUACAAACAAACAUUGGACAUCUCCAGCACAAACUAAGUUAUUUUAUUGAUAAAAUGAGAAACUGCUCGACUGUGUGAACCAAAUGUGACCGGCUCUUUGUAUUUAAAUGAUUUGAGUGGAUCUUUUCUUUUUCCGUUUUUUCCUUUCUUGGGUUUUCUUCUGUUUGUGGCUUCAAUUCUACUGUUGCCAAACCGAAUCAGCCAAUAUGCUAAAGCAUAUUAAAGAUAUUGACACAA